rnacentral:lncRNA from 1 species
CUUUCCUUAGCCCCUUCUUCCUGCCUCAGGUUGAAAAAGGCAAGAGGAGGGGGUGGGGGCCAGGGGCUGUGCCAUAGAUCCCUUCCCACCGAGGCCUCGGAGAGGAAGGAGGGCUUCCCGGCCGGCUGUCAUUUUGGUGGUUGUGGUGUCUCCAGACAGGGGCAGCACCCCCUCUUCGCUGCCUUCCAGGAUGAAGGGAGAGAGAGAGAGAGAGAGGCGAGCGGAAUUCCUGAAUGGACAGACAGAUGCUACGUCACCGGAGCUGCAUCUCCCCUCCUGCCCCCCCACCCCGCCCCGCCUCAGGAGGCAGGAGCUGGAGAGAGGCAGUCCAUCGGCAGGGGCCACCAAGCCGGCUCUCCUCCUCACAGAAGCCAGGGCCGGGCAUCCAAGAAGCAGCAGGCAGCCCCGGUUCUGGUGUCAUCGUGGGUGGCCACCUUGGCUUUUAGGGUAUUUAUUUUCUUAUUUGUUUGUUUUCAAUGGGGGGGGGCGGGAGGAGCUGGCCCUGCACCACCUCUGUGUUCCCCUAUUCUCCCCACCUUGCCUCCUCUAGUUGUGGGGCCAGGCCUGUACUCCCCUCUGAUGGUAGUAAGACCUGUGGAGUCAUUGAUGAUGGGAAUGGAAGACCCCAGUUCUGUGAGAGGGAGGAGAGGUACUGGGGAGUCAGGGACUCUUCCUCUUCUCUCAGAGCUUCCUGGGGGCGUGGGCAGCCCUUUGACCCUGGGGUGGGGAUGCAGAUGUCUGUACCUGGGUGACAGAGGUGAGAAAGGAGAGCAGUGUGGGUUGUAGUGAGUGGAGGUCUGGGAAGCAUGCACACCGCAAAGGUAUGUGCGGACCCUGCCCCUGGAAGCUUCAGAGGCUCUUGCUGGGAGUGCCAUGGAAAUGUGGUGGCAUUUGUCUUAGUACAUAGGUUUGUGUUUGCACGUGUGUGUGUGUGUGUGUGUGUGUGUGUGUGUGUGUGUGUGCACCCUUACACGCUCAUGCUUUUGUCCCUCAAGGAGACCACUCACUGGUGGUGGACCUUCUACAGUCUCUGUCACCUCGUCCUUACCUCCCUGACUCCAUAGGGCUUUGAGGCCUGCGCUCAGCUCAGUUAUGGGUUUAAGAACUGAGGGCAGGCAGGGAGGCAGUGCUUAGAGAGGCCUGAGGAAUUCUCAGGCUGGCCUCUCAGCAGGAGAAAAACACUCUCAUGGGGAGGGAAGGGUGACACCCCCAGGGACAAAAUCUUCCAAGUUGUCCCCAUGCCCUCUAACCUCCUCUGUCCAUAUGGAGAUAGAUUUUUUUUUCACAGCUUCAGCAUUUUUUUAAUUUCCCGUUCUUGCUUUUAUGUGUCACCAUCCCACAGACAAUGCAAAUAUUCUAUAGCCAAAGAAUAAUGUGUGAUAAUGUUCAUAAAAAUGAUGCAUUUAUAAGGCAAAAAUAAAUACCUGAACCUACCCUCCUCCACAUGCAGCUUUCAUCUGUGUCUUCAAGGCAAAUUAAUCUGAUAAUUGAAACAAAGAAAAAUUAUGCUUUUUAUUUAAUUACCUGAAUGUUUCAAGAGAGUGGCUUAAUGCCAAAAUGUAUUUUGGACCCAAAUUAUAAAAAGCUGUCCAAAAGCUGCGUCCUGAGAGCAUAAUUCAGGCCAUGUUUUUCCGUACAUAGGGCUCUUCAGGCACAGACAAUGGGUGCGCACCAGGACUGUAGGGAUGGGGGUGGGGACAGGCACAGGCAAAGAAUGCAGGCUGUAAGCUGAUGGAGACACUUACAAGCUCACAUCAAUGCCAGGGACUUGGGGGGCUCUCCCCACAGUACCUCAGAAUUUCCCUGGAAGAACUCCGGUGGGAUCUGCAGGCCACAGCUCUGUAGAACCUCCACCUCAACAGAGAGUGCUGUGGGCUCCAGCGGAGGCCUUCCUGGGGAGACUGAGGCUGGCAGGCCAAGCAGGAGGGGGACAAAAUGCACCCAUUUUGCUCCAGCUGGCAGCCUCUCUCAGGCCUGCUGUAUCCAGUUCUAGAUAGUAGAAAGGUCUCUGGUGGUCAAAGGACCUGCCGAAUAGUCACUAAAACACAACAUGGUCGCCCUGCCUCUCCCCCCCCCCCCCACCCACGCAGAUCCCAUGCUGGACAUGCUUUGUCAACACCCUCCCUUUCCACUUAUAGGACACUAGGUCCACAGGAGGGCACACACACAUCCCCUUGUUAACUCACUCUUUCCUGGGCACUGCUUUAGGUGUAGCAUUAGACCCUCUAGACCGAGUCUGUAUGACGCUGCUCUGCCCUGGAGGGCUGUCUCAUUUGCUUCCCUCCACGUAGUGUCCUUUUGGAAACCAACUGUAACAUGGUUUCCUAUACAAAGCAAGCCCAGUGAACAUGAUGGUGGGGAGUUUGCUUCUUUCAGGGCUUAUAGCUCCAUCCCUGUUGGAAUGGAGACAGAGGACCCUACUCCCCUGUGAGCAGGAACCCUGGAGGGUCAGGUUGUCAAGUCCAGACAAAACCAAACCAGACAAAAAAUUGCUUUAUCAGGAACCUGGCCGGAGAGGGUGAUUCCAAUCUAAACUAAUCUCCAUUUUCUUCUGUGGGGGCCACUGCUUAGGCCAAGAUUCUUCUGCAGAACCCAAAACCACAGCAAGAGGUGGAGGAUCUAGCUCCUUAUCUAGGUAUUUGGGAGGAAUUUGGAAAUGUACCCAUUUCUUUCCAGAUCUCAGUUUUUUAGAAGGUCCAGCAGAGUCUGAUUUUGGCCAAUAGGGGUGGAGAAGAGAGUGUCUCCAUGGGGCAAAGAAGCCUUUUUGAGUCUAACCCCCACCUCAUCCCCAGCAAAAAUACAGCUGUGGCUGAAAGAGGAGGGAUUACGCUGGUCCUGCUGCCUCUUGCUGUGCUCACUGGGUAACUCCAGAGUAAGGGAUUGUGGAGAUAAAGCUGGGGCCCAUGAGGACAGGGGACCUGGUUGGAAUUGGUGACAGAAAAAAGAGGAUGGUUUUGGCUAACAGGAUGGUCAGCUCUUUCUCACAUGCUGGCCCCAGCCUCACAGGCACUGGGUGAGGGGAGAAGGAAGGGAAGAAAGCAUGCUUUAGGUGCUUUUAAGGGAUCUUGUGGGGGACAAAUUGGAGAAUAUUUGUAGGGGAAGUGGGUGGUAUAUGUGAAGUGUUGGCACAAUCUAGGGUGGCUGGAAUAUCUAGAGAGUAUUGGGGUGUGAGGUCAUGUACCUGGAAUUAUUUGAGGAGGUUUGUAGGCAGGAAGCUGAAAGACUGAAGGAGCCUAUAGUUUCUCCAGGGCCUGGUAUGGAGGAUGCCUUAGGGAAUGCAUUUGGCAGCAUACCAGUAGGGUAGGUCUAGCUGUGAGAGUGUUGGGGGAGAAUUCUAGUUUUCUGCUACUACUAAGGCAACAGAGGCCCCAGUGCUCCCCCAGUGCUCCAUUCUGAGCUGUAGGAGCACCUGGGAGAGGGAGGGAAGGAAGUAGGCAGUGGACACUUUGUCUCUUUCUUUCUCCACUUCUGCCUGACAUGCUCCUAGUUCUGAGAGGGUAAAGAAUUGAUGCUGUGGAACCUUCUAGAAAGACUUUCCCUUGGGCUUUCCUUGGGUCCUGAGACCCUCUGGAGGCUGACAGAGGUGGAAAAACUGUGCCAAGCACAGCCCUGAGAAUGCCCUGAGCCUUGGGAAAAGCCAGGCUGUUUGCUUCAGCUCCAUACUCUUCUCUUGGGAGAUGUAGGCCCUGGGGCUUUAUCCUACUUCCAAGUGUGCCCCACCUCACAAUCCUGUAGACACUAUUCAGACAUUCUCCCAUCUUUAAGGGAAUGUGAUUAACGAAGCCAUUGGCCAUGGGCUUACAUCUAACCAAGGGGAAUAGCAUCCAGGCUCGGCUUUGUCUUAGACACUGCAGAGAGGUGACAUGCUGGAGUGUAUAGAACGGUCUGGCUGGGGGCGCCUGAGUGGCUCAGGUCAUGAUCUCAGAGACCUGGGAUAGAGUCCCACGUUGGGCUCCCUGCUCAGCAGGGUCUGCUUCUCCCUCUCCCUCUCUGCUGGCUCUCUCUCAAAUAAAUAAAAUUUUAAAAAUUUAUUUAAAGAACAGUCUGGCUGGGCCCGCUGGAGGCACGGGGAGCGCACCUCUGUUGGUACUGUGUUCAAGGAUCCCAGGUGAUAGGAAUCUGCUGGUAUUAAGCAGGUACACGGGCUCUAGGUAUCUAAGCCAUAGGAUUUUUCAGAAAAGGGGUUGAGAGUAUGGCGAUUGGAGGGGUGCGGAAACUGGAGACCCGGACCGCUCCCAGGCAGGCACUGCGGCUCACCAGGGCCUCACCGCUCCUUCUCAUUCUCGGAAAGCUCCACCAGGCAGCGAGAAUCCGGAUCCCGCUUGCAGGGCCGUGCGUGCUCCCGGGUUGGGACGCGGCAUAACUGGACUCUGAUUCUCUGGGCAGGUGGGGAGCCAGGUCAGGAAAGCCUGGAACUGAAAACCUUGCUGAGGGUGAUGCUUCUCCCUAUCACCUCAGCUCUCCAGAUGCCCGGAGGUGGAGAGGGGCCUGGCGGCUCACGGGCCGGGGAAAGGGAGAGAAGGCGCUAGCGCGGGCCUCGGUGGCUCAGUGGAUGCUGCGGAUGCUGCCCAGGUUAACGCCGCUGGGACCCACCAGCCUCCCCCGCCUGGAACUUUGGUGUAGCGAGCGGGUUCAAGAGAUAUUCCCGUUGAAUAUUCCUCGCGGCGAAGAGGGAGGCCCCGCGGGUCCAGGAGGAGUCCCCAACUUCCAGAAUCGUUCCCUCAGUGUUUUGGGUUGGAAACCGACCAGAGAGAGGUUCCUGCCCGUCCUAGAAGAUUAGGAUCCCAGUAUGGAAGAGAUCAGAACACACGCACAAACAAACGAUAUCCUGAGGGAUGGAGGCAGGUAGGGGGAGAAUCUCCAGUUAUCUAAUUCUUUUUGAAACCUCUGCGCCGCCCCCCCUCCCGGUGCAACACGUCUAGGGACCAAAUGGAAAAUGUAAGGCCUACAAGAGUGAGGAUGGCGAUCAAAACCACAAUUGUGGGAGAUGGCAGACGGGCCUCGGGUGGGCGAGGCAGCAAGCGGCCGGGGGUCAGCGCUCGGAGGCUGUAGUUCCUCCCUCACCCCGCUCCGGGGGGAGGAGAGCCCCAAUUGCGCGCUCCAGCUCUUCCCGGGAAGGGGGGCGGGGUCGGGGCGGGGGGGGGGGGGGAGAUGAGGCGGUGACGUCAGACCCUCCGGAGCCAAUCGGAGGCUGGCCUGGGGAGGGAGCGUGAAAGGAUGAAUGAAAAGUCCGGAGCCGGAGCGCGCCCGGGCCAGAGCAGCGGCCGCGGUGGAGGCGGGAGCUGGGGGGGCGAGGCCCGCGCGGCCCCGCUCGCCGCUGCUCGGCGGAGGCUGAGAGCCCGCGGGCAUCUGCAUCCCCGCGCCCGCUAAGCCCCGGCACCGCGGACCCCGGGCCACGGCUCUCCGUGGCGGCAACGCGCCGGGAGGACCGCGCGGGAGAGCACGAUGGGCGCCCGGGGCUCGAU